rnacentral:lncRNA from 1 species
UUAACUAUUUGGAUUUUCCAUUUCGUGCAUCACUUCUGUAGCCAUGUUUUUUUUUUUCCUCUGUGUUUGGUCUGCUGUGAGGAGGAUUAAAUAAGAAAAUACACAAAAUGGGUUUAGCCCAGUGCCCGAUACAAAGUAAACACUAAAUAUACAUUAUUAGAGGGACUGACUUCCUCAUAAAGUAUUAAAAAGAUGUCAUCAAGGAAACAAAACACACACUUAGAGACUUUAAGCGUUGACAAGGAGAAUAUGAAAUAUUUAAAAAUAUAAGUUCCUUAGUUAAUAAUAGCUAACAUGUAUUGAUCACUUAUUAUGUGCCAGGCAUUGAAGUAUGCACAUUAUAUACAUAAUCUCCUUUAAUCUUAACUGUAACUGCAAAUAACCAAAAUGUAUUACAGAGAAAUUAAGUAAUUUGCCUAAACUCCCCUUUAGAAGGAACUGAGCCUAGAUUUAUAAUACAAACUGGUCUGCAAAUAUGUAUUCUUAAUAUCAUUUUCCAAAAUUAUUCCACAUGCCAUGACCCUUGAAAUGCAAAGUUGCUCAUUGUGCCAUGUGCCACGACAUUUAUGGCCGUACCACCCUGAACAUGCCCCAUCUCAUCUGAAAUAAGAAGUUAUUUAAGUUUCAGCAUUCUGGAUUUCACAAACCAGUACAAUGGAAGAAAGGGCAGGGGUGGUGGAACUUGAUGUAAGAUUGCUGAUUUUUAAAUCAACAACCUCUCUUUCAAUUGAAUAUAGUUUUAGGGGGAAAAAAAUCACCAUACUGCUG